UCCCGAGUAGCUCAGUCGGUAGAGCGUUAGGCUUUUAACCUAAGGGUCCAGGCUUCGAACCCUUGCUCGGGCG